rnacentral:rRNA from 1 species
CCUACGGGGGGCAGCAGUGAGGAAUAUUGGUCAAUGGACGAGAGUCUGAACCAGCCAAGUAGCGUGAAGGAUGACUGCCCUAUGGGUUGUAAACUUCUUUUAUAUGGGAAUAAAAUGUUCCACGUGUGGGAUUUUGUAUGUACCAUAUGAAUAAGGAUCGGCUAACUCCGUGCCAGCAGCCGCGGUAAUACGGAGGAGCCGAGAGUUAUCCGGAUUUAUUGGGUUUAAGGGGAGCGUAGGUGGAUUGUUAAGUCAGUUGUGAAAGUUUGCGGCUCAACCGUAAAAUUGCAGUUGAAACUGGCAGGCUUGAGUACAGUAGAGGUGGGCGGAAUUCGUGGUGUAGCGGUGAAAUGCUUAGAUAUCACGAAGAACUCCGAUUGCGAAGGCAGCUCACUGGACUGCAACUGACACUGAGGCUCGAAAGUGUGGGUAUCAAACAGGAUUAGAUACCCGAGUAGUC